rnacentral:rRNA from 1 species
GCAUAUCAAUAAGCGGAGGAAAAGAAACCAACAGGGAUUGCCCUAGUAACGGCGAGUGAAGCGGCAACAGCUCAAAUUUGAAAGCUAGCCUUCGGGUUCGCAUUGUAAUUUGUAGAGGAUGAUUUGGGGAAGCCGCCUGUCUAAGUUUCCUUGGAACAGGACGUCAUAGAGGGUGAGAAUCCCGUAUGUGACAGGAAAUGGCACCCUAUGUAAAUCUCCUUCGACGAGUCGAGUUGUUUGGGAAUGCAGCUCUAAAUGGGAGGUAAAUUUCUUCUAAAGCUAAAUAUUGGCGAGAGACCGAUAGCGCACAAGUAGAGUGAUCGAAAGAUGAAAAGCACUUUGGAAAGAGAGUUAAAAAGCACGUGAAAUUGUUGAAAGGGAAGCGCUUGCAAUCAGACUUGUUUAAACUGUUCGGCCGGUCUUCUGACCGGUUUACUCAGUUUGGACAGGCCAGCAUCAGUUUCGGCGGCCGGAUAAAGGCUCUGGGAAUGUGGCCUCCACUUCGGUGGAGGUGUUAUAGCCCAGGGUGUAAUACGGCCAGCCGGGACUGAGGUCCGCGCUUCGGCUAGGAUGCUGGCGUAAUGGUUGUAAGCGACCCGUCUUGAAACACGGACCA